GACGAACGCUGGCGGCGUGCUUAACACAUGCAAGUCGAACGGAAAGGCCCUGCUUUUGUGGGGUGCUCGAGUGGCGAACGGGUGAGUAACACGUGAGUAACCUGCCCUUGACUUUGGGAUAACUUCAGGAAACUGGGGCUAAUACCGGAUAGGAGCUCCUGCUGCAUGGUGGGGUUGGGAAAUUUUCGGGGGUUGGGGUUGGAUUCGCGGCUUAUCAGCUUGUUGGUGGGGUAGUGGCUUACCAAGGCUUUGACGGGUAGCCGGCCUGAGAGGGUGACCGGCCACAUUGGGACUGAGAUACGGCCCAGACUCCUACGGGAGGCAGCAGUGGGGAAUAUUGCACAAUGGGCGGAAGCCUGAUGCAGCAACGCCGCGUGCGGGAUGACGGCCUUCGGGUUGUAAACCGCUUUCGCCUGUGACGAAGCGUGAGUGACGGUAAUGGGUAAAGAAGCACCGGCUAACUACGUG
rnacentral:rRNA from 1 species